rnacentral:lncRNA from 1 species
UUCUGGGUGUUUCUGUGAGGAUGUUUUUGGAUCAGAUUAACAUUUAAAUUGGUGGACUUUGAGUAAAGCUAGAUUGCACUACAAAAUGUGGGUAGGCCUGAUCCAGUGACAUUGGCUCUCCUGGAGUUCUGGCCUGCUGGCCCACUGGCUCAUCCAGCAGAGUUCGGAUUUGCCAGCCUUCAUAAUUAUGUGAAACAAUUCCUUAUAAUCAAUUAAUUGAUCCUAUUGAUUUGUUUUAUUUGGAAAACACUGAUUAAUACAGUAGCUAAAUGCUACAGUGGAUCUAGGAAUGCAAAUAGAAAGUCAGUCUACUAAAACAUGGCUUGAUCUUUUUAACAGGAAAAACACUGGAUCUGGUGUCCAGAAAUCUGACUAAAGUCACUUCAGAGAGAGUCACAGCCUCUUCUCCACUUUCCAGAUCUAAACCACUUGUCUGAUCCAGGGCUUCUUGAUUGAAGGACAUGCUGAGUUCCCUUAACUCCCUUAACUGUCACAAGUUGAUGCUAUAGACUUCCUCCACAGCUUCUCCAGAGACCUGCAGUGACUUUGUAUUACAAAACAAGAAAAUCCUAAGAUCUUUUAGGGAUUAACUAAUAGGCACUGGCCCUGAACUGAUGCUAAUUCCUGGGACCCUAAAAUACUACUAUGGCCUACCAGUUAAAGUGAGAGCUUGUGGUGGUCAGGUAAUGAAUGGUGUGUUGGCCCAAGCUGAAGUUAAAGGAGCCCAGUAGGUCUGUGAAUCCAGUAGUUAUAUCUAUAGUUCUUGAAUGUUUAAUAAGAAUAGACAUAAUCUAUUCCUGGCAGAAUCCCCAGAUUUGUUUGCUGAUCCAUGGAAUGAGAGCUAUUACGGUAAAACAGGCCAAGUUAGAAGUCCCUGAAAGUUCCCUUCCCUACCAGGGUAGUAAAUUAAAAGCAAUACCACAUUCCUAGAGGAAAUUACAGACAUUAAUGUCACUAUUAUAGUGUUAAUAUCUAUCAUAUCCCCAUUUAAUUUCAUCUGCUUUUCCUGUGCAGAGUGUUGUUGGAUCUGGAGCAUGACUGUGGAUUGUUAUAAACUUAAUUAGGCAAUGACUCUCAUUGCAAGUACUGUUCUGGAUGUGGCAUCUCUAUGAGAGAGAAUCAGCAUAACCCAUGGUACCUCGUGUACCAUUAGUGAUCUGGCAAAUGCUUUUCUCAUCCCUCUAUAUCAAUUUACAGUGAACCCCAUAAGCAGGUUUUCACCUUGCAGAAACAAGAGAUUGCCUUCACAGACCUGCCUUGGGGCUACCUCAACUUAAUGUCUGUGAUAAUCUAAUCUGCAGAGAUCUUGAUCAUCUUGACAUUUUAUAGAGCAUCAAACUUGUCCACUUCACUAAUUACUUCACUGAUGAGAUCAUAUAAGAAGGUAGUAGCAAGUACUUUAGGUGCCUUGGUAAAAUUCUUGUUAGUCAGAGAGUGGGAGAUAAACCCCAUAAAAGUCCAGGGACUCAUCUACUUUGGUGAAGUUUCUGAUAGGCUAGUGGUCUGGAGCAGGUUGCAAUAGUCCAUUCCUUUUUUUGCAGUUUUGUCUAUUUUGAGGGAUAGAGCUCAGGCGGAUCUGGAAGACAUAAGCAAGUUGCCUGAGUAACUGGGCCAACUCCUCUGAGAGCUACUCCUGGUGCAAGGAGUAGCUUUUCCUCAAUCUGUAAUUUUGGCUGCCUGGGAAGUUCGUUAUGACUAGCUGAUUAUAAGGAUGAAGUUUAGGCUUGGUUUACAGUUUAUUCUGCCCAAUAUGCUAGUAUCAACCGGUUGCUACAAAAAUUCCUGCACUAUUACACCCCAAUCAGGUAUGUCUUUGAAAGAUCUUACUAAAGAGAAAUCUUUCCAGGGUUCAGAAUUUUGAGCACUACAUUUAGUUGCCUACUGUGUCUAAACUGAGCACUAUCCAGAAGUAUGGAUCUAAACUCUAGUAAUCAAGGGCAAUUAUUCAUGGUUUGAUGAAUGGUGAGGGUCUUGGAAAGUAAAGAUUUAGAAGACAAGUGACAAGAAGGUCUGGGGAUGAAAUAACAUGGAUGAACCUCUCACAAUGGGCAGAAGAUUGAAGAUGAUUUUGCUCUGUGUGAAUGCUCACCAAAGGACUCUGUUGAGUCAUGAGAAUGUACUUUGCAGACAUACAACUAUAGGGAACACAACCAGAGCUCCAGCUGCUGCCCUCUGAUGCUCACCACUGCUUCCCACGGGCUGCUCCUAGCAAAUGACUGAGAGUGGCAGGGAAACUAAGGCAGGCCUAUCCCUGGGAUAUUUGGGUCUCCUGUGACAGCUAGCUUUAGCCUGAGGACUUCCUGAUGGCCUUGCUGAACCUAAAUUAGUGAAGAGGAAGCUCUCAAUAAUCAAGACAACAAGAUGACGUACUUUGUAGCCUCUUUCUCCAGUCAUCCUAAUGAUUGCCCAUGGGCCCAUGGACAAGAAUGGCUAUGUGGGCAAGGAUGGAGCCAUUCUUCAACAUGGACUUCCCUCCAAGGCUGACCACCUGAGUGCUGGACCUGCCAACAGCGGAGAUCAGCACUUAGUCUCUAAUAUGGAAACUUGGUGGCAGGUUUAUUACAUUAGACCCCUUCUAUCAUGAAAGGGGCAGCUAUUUAUCCUCACUGAAAAAGACACAUAAUCUAGAUGUGGCUUUGUCCUUAGUACUUCUGCCAGCCUUAUUAAGUGUUAAGAUAUCCUGCAUGGUAACACAGCAUCUUAUCAAGCAGUAGCUAAGGAGUGUGUGUUAGUCGGCUUGGGCUGCCAUAAGAAAAUGAAAGAGACUGGGUGGCUUAACAACAGAAACUUCUCAGUUCUGGAGGCUCGUCAGUCUAAGAUCAAGGUGUGGCUUCCAGGAGGCCUCUUUUCAUGGCUUGUAGGGGGCUGCCAUCUUUCUGGGUGCUCACAUGAUCUCUUAUUUGUGCCCCAGAAAGAGAGAGGUCAAGCUUUUUAUAAAGCAUUGAUCCCAAUGGGCCAGGCUCCAACCCUUGUGACUUCAUCUAAACCUAAUUACCUCCCAAAGACCAUAUCUUCACAUAUCACACAUUGAGGGGUUAGGAUUUCACCAUAUGAAUUUGGGGGCAGACACAAACAUUUAGUUCAUAGCAGAGUGUGGAAGCAGACUGAUGCCUGUGGAAUUUAUUGGUCUUGUCAUGUACUUCAUCACUCAGAAGCACCUGGUCUAUUAGAAUUACAGGAUGAUCUACGUAAGACUCAGUUAACUUGCAACUAGAAGUUAACCUAAAAGAUAAGGUUCUGUCUUAUAGGACACAAUAUGUGCUUUGAAUUGGUAACCAAUGAAUAUGCUUUUCUUUUUUCCCCCCAAGCCAGAAUACAUUGAUCUUGGAAUCAAGUGGUGGGCACCUAAUAAUUCACACAUUCAGAAUUUUUGCUUCCCAUUGCUGUGACUGUGAUUCUGAUAUAUAGGAAGUCUUGGUUCCCAAGGGAGGAAUGCUUUCACCAAGGGACAUAAUAGUGUUUCUUCUGAAUUGGUAGUUGCGUCUGCUACUGACCAUUUUUAGCUUGUACUAUGAGGGUUAAUGUCGGUGGGCCCGAAAUUGCCUUGAUCGAGGCAUGGCAUGUCCUGAUAAGUAGUGUUGCUUUAUGACUGUGUGCCUGAGGAGCUUCAGGGUGGUGUGUAUCAGUUUGUCAUUACUGUUUAUUAUAACAGUGAGAUGGAUUAUUUAUACCUGGAGACUUCUGUACCCCUCAACCCUGCCAACUCCCCCCCAAAAAACCCCAAAACUUAGUUGUUGGGGCUAGUUUUUAGCCAACAGAAUAAUUAAUGGGACUGCUACGAAAUUUGAGAAGUGAGUAGAAACUUUUUGUCUCCUUAUUGUGGAGAAAAGGUAAGAUCAUCUUAUUUGUACAGAGGAUAGUUUCAUCUUAAGCACAAAGCUAUGUCUAUUGUAUAGAAAUUCAGUUAUGGAUAGAAGGAUGCUGAAUAGCCAAAGGGCAGGACUAGGCUAUCAUCUUCUAGCUUCAAACUCACCGUUCUAUACUUCCUGUAAUCUGCUUUGUCAUGCUGGGGCUGGAACCCCACAAAGUACAUUUCUUUAUCACUUAGUUUUCUCUUAGGCUCUGCAAAUAAGGGAUACAGAGACAUGGUGGAGAUCUACAGGAAGGACCAGGGACUCGAUCCUUCCUCUUUUGCUUUCUGCUGCUAUUUCCCUGGCAGUGAGAGUUAGUCCAGUAGUAUCAGUUUUCAGUUUUUUCACACCUCCAGAGCCAGCCUCAUCAUGCAUGGUCAGAGAUGGCAGCACCAGUAGGCUGGCACCCAUCUUCAGACUUUUGAGCUCUUAAGACAAUAAUACCGGUCAGGCAAGGGCUGUUUUUAUUUUUUAUUUUUUUGUCUUUUGUAUUUUUAGGGCUGCACCCUCGGCAUAUGAAGGUUCCUAGGCUAGGGGUCUAAUUGGAACUGUAGCCGCCGGCCUACGCCACAGCAAUGCCAGAUCUGAGCCUCAUCUGUGACCUACACCACAGCUCACAGCGACACCGGAUCAUUAGCCCACUGAGUGAGGCCAGGGAUCGAACCCGAAACCUCAUGGUUCCUAGUGGGAUUCGUUAACCACUGAGCCAUGAUGAGAACUCCUGUUUAGAUAUUAAAGCCAAGCUUACACUAUUUUGAUAUAAUUUAGUGCUAGAAAGACUCUCUACCAUAAAUAUCCUAUUAAAAAAAAUGAGAUAUACCUCACAUAAAGUUCACCCUUUCAAAGCUUGUGUCUACUUGGUUUUGAUUAUCAUUGGAUCUUGUGUGAAAAUGUUGACCUAUCCACCCACUAAAAAUGGCUUUUGGUGGCUUAUCAAAGCAGCCAAGAUGUCAACCCACAUGUUAAGUCAGUUUUAGGUAAAAUACCCUUCAUAUCUUCUCUUUCUUACUCUGUUUCCCAGAUUUCCUGCAGUCUGGUAGUAAUUGGCUCCAAGUUGUCACAAGUUUUGUGCCAGCAGAGGCUCAGGUGGGCAUUUUUAAUUUGAGCUAUUAAUCCCUUUUCUAGAGAUGUUUAAAAUCAGAUAUUUGGCAACAUCUGUAAUGAGAGGGUUUGCUUUCAACCAGUCAUAUGCUGACAGUGACAUCUACUGGUCAUAAAGGUUUCUUUAUAUUGUCUUGAUGCCUUUUUGCAGUUUAUCAGUGAUCUUAAUUAUACUGUGAAAUGUAAGAAAAACAAUUAUAUCAUCCUUGGGAGCUAAAUAAACCAAAACAUGUGCCAGUAUAUGUACCACUGUGGGGUAUUUUUAAAACUAAAAAAUAAAAUCUAAAUUUCUUCUUCAUUUGAGAAGAUACUGUGAUCUCUUUCAUUUGAACCGUUGGAGAAUUUGAAAAAUGAAUUAAAAACUCAGUCAUUUCCUUUAAAGUACCUUUUGGGGUUUUUUUUUCAAAGCAGAACUUAGUGAAUUUAGUCCUAGAAAAUUCUAGUGGACCUAAUGAAAGACUGGCUAUUAAAGGUGAUUUGCUUCUGGCAUUUCAUCCUGAUCUUGUUAGGUCCCAGAUUUCAUGCAUGCCCUUGCUCCCAUCCCUACUUCCUUCCUAUCUGUAGCUAUGCAUACGUAUUAAACUUCAUAAUACUCUUCCAGAUUUGUUCCUGUAUUAGCUUUGGAAACUUCCCCCACUGCUCUUGAUAUUAGAUUAUACUAGGAAAAAUUAGGAGUUUCAUUUUUCUAACUAUAUUUUUAAAGAAGGCAUGUAUUUAUAUUUAUUGAUAAAGCAUUUUGAAGAGUAGUGAUAAAAUUUAAUUUUGUGUAGGAAAUAUAAUCUUCAAUUUGUGUACUUAGGUGGCAUGUAAAUUUGAUAGUCGGGCUCCAUUUCCCUUCAAGCUUAAAAAAAAAUGUCAAGGAGUUCCCGUUGUGGUGUAGCAGAAACGAACCUGAGUAGUAUCCAUGAGGAUGUGGGUUCCAUCCCUGGCCUCACUCAGUGGGUUAAGGAUGCAGUGUUGCCGUAAGCUGUGGUGUAGGUCACAGAUGCGGCUCGGAUCCCAAGUUGCUCUGGCUGUGGUGCGGGCCGGCAGCUGUAACUCUGA